GGGUUGGUAGCUUAAGUUAGGGCGCUGGACUUUUAAUCUAGAGGUGAGGUAUAAAAUAGCCCUCUCAACCCU